UUUUUUUUUUAAUUUUUUGUUUCAUGUCUUUUAUUUGAACUUGCUCUAUGGUAAAAGGAUUUACACAGUAUUUAAAAAAAAUAAAUAAAAUAUAUUUGUAAUAAGCAAUAGCUGGAUGGAGUCUCACUCUAUGGAAAUGUUGAAGAAGAAAUCCUAUGCAAUUUGUUUAUAAUGCCUGGUAAUUUAUUUUCAAUGUAUAAUGUCUCGAUCAAGCUACUCAGCGCUACAAUCUACAGUACCUAAGUCUGUCUUUGUGACGCUUGAAGACGUCCUAUUGAAUAAAGAGUCAUUGAGCGUGGAGAA